rnacentral:piRNA from 1 species
GAGAUAAGAAGAGGAUAAUGGACUGU